rnacentral:lncRNA from 1 species
ACUUGCGGGGGUGGGGCUGCGCCGGCCUCUUCCCAGCCAGCUUGAAAGGGUUUGCGUAACCGGCCUUGUGGGCCCUUAAAGCGCUCUGUUAAAGCGUUCUGUGGGCGGCCUGGGCUCAACUCCCUUAGUCUAGGCGCACGAAGGGAGUUGCUCCUAGCUCUCGUCCGUCCCGGGUUUGCCUUUCUUUCCUUCCCGAUGCCUGGCUCUUAGGUCCACUACCGCAGAGUCUGCGGCUGCCAGGAAGCCCAGAUUCGAGUGUCCGGAGAGUAACCGGAAGUGCUGUCCCCAGGCCUAGGGGCGGCGCCGGCGGCUGCAGGGAGAGAGAAGAAUUGAGUGUUGUGAAUAGUUCUGGACUAGAGACCUUUUGAAACCAAAAGGAAGAUGGUCUUGAGUCUUUCUUGUUAUGAAUGCUAUCUUCCUUGAGAAGUCAAAUUCUCAGGAUCAAGAAUGUAUGUUUUCUUCCGUCUGGAUUCUAGGUAAGCUACAGUUACUUCAGUAUUUUGAAGUGUCCCUUCUCUUUCCC